CCUACAAAAGGAGAUUUUUGUGAAUAAUCAAAUUGGUAAUUUUUGUUACAUCUCUCCCUCCAGGAGCCCAUGUAUCAUAUACACCCUCAAAAUAAAAAUUCUUGAAUACUAGAAGAAAAUAACAUACAUG
rnacentral:antisense_RNA from 1 species